GAGUUCCAUCGCCUUUGACUUGGUGGUAGCGACGUCGACGCUCGUCACCCCGAGAGCGACGAGCAUCU
rnacentral:sRNA from 1 species